rnacentral:rRNA from 1 species
UGGGGAAUUUUGGACAAUGGGCGAAAGCCUGAUCCAGCAAUGCCGCGUGUGUGAAGAAGGCCUUCGGGUUGUAAAGCACUUUUGUCCGGAAAGAAAUCCUUGGCUCUAAUACAGUCGGGGGAUGACGGUACCGGAAGAAUAAGCACCGGCUAACUACGUGCCAGCAGCCGCGGUAAUACGUAGGGUGCAAGCGUUAAUCGGAAUUACUGGGCGUAAAGCGUGCGCAGGCGGUUUGCUAAGGCCGAUGUGAAAUCCCCGGGCUCAACCUGGGAACUGCAUUGGUGACUGGCAGGCUAGAGUAUGGCAGAGGGGGGUUAGAAUUCCACGUGUAGCAGUGAAAUGCGUAGAGAUGUGGAGGAAUACCGAUGGCGAAGGCAGCCCCCUGGGCCAAUACUGACGCUCAUGCACGAAAGCGUGGGGAGCAAACAGGAUUAGAUACCCUGGUAGUCCACGCCCUAAACGAUGUCAACUAGUUGUUGGGGAUUCAUUUCCUUAGUAACGUAGCUAACGCGUGAAGUUGACCGCCUGGGGAGUACGGUCGCAAGAUUAAAACUCAAAUGAAUUGACGGGGUCAUAGCUGUUUCCU